rnacentral:tRNA from 1 species
AGAAAGCCGAGAUAGCUCAGUUGGUAGAGCAGAGGACUGAAAAUCCUCGUGUCACCAGUCAAA